ensembl:snoRNA SNORA70 Small nucleolar RNA SNORA70
GCUCUGUCAAUUAAGCCAAUCAGGCUUCUUUCUCCAAGGGGGUCUUGUAUGAACAGCAGUCUCCUUGAGAGUAUGUUUACCCUGUUGCCUACAUGGGUUGUCCUAAGGGACCUUGGAGGCAAUU